AGGCCGUUCCUCGCCCGCGCACGCGCCGUUCCGCCACCUGACUGGCCCCCGGCGCCCCGGAUUGGCCCAGGCCGUCCAACAGCGGCCCCGCCCAGAGAGAGGCCAUUGCUCUUUGUCCAUAGGGGCGGGGCACGGCGGAGAUCUGCGGUAUUCGGCCUUCGGAAAGAGCCCCCGGGCCGCAGCACGGACAGAGCCGAGCGCCGCAGCCAUGAGCCGAAUAGAGCCGGAGAGACCCGAGUAUGACCGGAGAAGUCCAGGCCGGCCGGAAGAGGAGCCGAGCGCGGCCGGAAGGAACCGAGCCCGUCCGAAGGGAGCGGAGCGCAGCUGGGCGUGGGGCCCGGUCGACCCCGCGCCAUGGCGGCCGAGGGGGCAGCUGUGGCCGGAGGCGGGGCUGUUGGCGGCUGCCUGGCCAAAGACGGCUUGCAGCAGUCUAAGUGCCCGGACGCUACCCCAAAACGGCGGCGCGCCUCGUCGCUGUCGCGUGACGCCGAGCGCCGAGCCUACCAAUGGUGCCGGGAGUACUUGGGCGGGGCCUGGCGCCGAGUGCAGCCCGAGGAGCUGAGGGUUUACCCCGUGAGCGGAGGCCUCAGCAACCUGCUCUUCCGCUGCUCGCUCCCGGAUCACCUGCCCAGCGUUGGCGAGGAGCCCCGGGAGGUGCUGCUGCGGCUGUACGGAGCCAUCCUGCAGGGCGUGGACUCCCUGGUGCUGGAAAGCGUGAUGUUCGCCAUCCUUGCAGAGCGGUCGCUGGGGCCCCAGCUGUACGGAGUCUUUCCGGAGGGCCGGCUGGAACAGUACAUCCCAAGCCGGCCAUUGAAAACUCAAGAGCUUCGAGAGCCAGUGUUGUCAGCAGCCAUUGCCACGAAGAUGGCGCAAUUUCAUGGCAUGGAGAUGCCUUUCACCAAGGAGCCCCACUGGCUGUUUGGGACCAUGGAGCGGUACCUAAAACAGAUCCAGGACCUGCCCCCAACUGGCCUCCCUGAGAUGAACCUGCUGGAGAUGUACAGCCUGAAGGAUGAGAUGGGCAACCUCAGGAAGUUACUAGAGUCUACCCCAUCGCCAGUCGUCUUCUGCCACAAUGACAUCCAGGAAGGGAACAUCUUGCUGCUCUCAGAGCCAGAAAAUGCUGACAGCCUCAUGCUGGUGGACUUCGAGUACAGCAGCUAUAACUAUAGGGGCUUUGACAUUGGGAACCAUUUUUGUGAGUGGGUUUAUGAUUAUACUCACGAGGAAUGGCCUUUCUACAAAGCAAGGCCCACAGACUACCCCACUCAAGGACAGCAGCUGCAUUUUAUUCGCCAUUACCUGGCAGAGGCAAAGAAAGGUGAGACCCUCUCCCAAGAGGAGCAGAGAAAACUGGAAGAAGAUUUGCUGGUAGAAGUCAGUCGGUAUGCUCUGGCAUCCCAUUUCUUCUGGGGUCUGUGGUCCAUCCUCCAGGCAUCCAUGUCCACCAUAGAAUUUGGUUACUUGGACUAUGCCCAGUCUCGGUUCCAGUUCUACUUCCAGCAGAAGGGGCAGCUGACCAGUGUCCACUCCUCAUCCUGACUCUGCACCCUCCCACUCCUUGGAUUUCUCCUGGAGCCUCCAGGGCAGGACCUUGGAGGGAGGAACAACGAGCAGAAGGCCCUGGGGACUGGGCUGAGCCCCCACGUGAAACUGAAGUUCAGGAGACCGGCCUCUCCCUGAGUUUGAGUAGGGCCCCAUGGCUGGCAGGCCAGAGCCCCGUGCUGUCUCUAAUGCCACCAUCCUCACGAGACUGGGGCCCCCCAAGCUCCCAGACCUUUGAGCAAC